GCACGUGCCUUGCACACCUUGCCCUUUAGCCUAUCAGGGUUUAAGCGACGACAGACCUGCCUAUAAAUAGCCAACUCUCAACACCUUUCUUCUUCGUAAGAACGGUGCUAGUCAUAAAUCUGCGCCUCCGCAAGCUAGCAAGUAACAAAUUAGGGUUUUAUAGUACUUAAAUUUCUGUUUUUUGGAUACAUUAGGUUUUAAACGCGUCAUAUUCUGAUUACCGUCGUUCAAUUACAGCCAUCGACGCUGCGUUUGAGAUCUGGAGACAUGUUUGUUUUGAUUUAUGUUUUUUUUGGUUUUUUGAGUGAAAAAGAAGAGAUGGAGGUGAUGAAUAUUUCCCCAAAUGAUCUACGCUGAAUAAACUGAGCGAUUGUUAAAUCUCUUGUGAGAUUCCAAGCCAGAAUUCUGAUCCAUCCUUUUCGCUUAUUUGAUUUGAGAUUGUUUUAGUUGAAUUGGUUUGCGAUGGAAGGGAUGAUUAUUUCCCCAGAUGAACGAAGUUGAACAAACUGAGCGAUCUUUUCUCUAAGGAGAAUCAAAGCCAGAAAUCUGAUCCGUCGUUUUAGUUAUAAGUUUAUAAAUUAGAGAAUGAAAAUGUGAAAAAAUUGAAAGGGAUGAUUAUUUCUCCAGAUGAUUGAAUAUGAACAAAUUGAGCGAUCUUCUCUCUUUGUGGGAGGAUUAGUAUUAAAUUAAGAGUAAUAUAGGUAUUUUAUUUAAUAA